UGGGUUUUCCAUCCUGCCUGAUAGACCAAUGGCCAAUGAUGAAUCUGGUGGAAGUCUGCUGACUCUCGCUUUGCACAUCACAGAAGAAGGAGCAACUGAGGACUUUAUCCCUCCUCGUACUGUUCAAAAUAUACUCAACAUUAUUGCAGGAACUGUAGUCCAGAUCACUGAUGUACUAUCAAAUAAUGGAGAAAAUAGUGUUGAACCAGAGCAGUGAGUCAAGUUCCUUACUUCUGAGAUGAACCUGUGUUGUAAUUAAGAUUCAUUAGGUCUGCAGGAGGAAUAUAAUGACUUUUCAAUAGUGUAUGUGAUAUCCAAAUAAAUUAGUGUGUGUGAUGAUGUGAACGCUGACACUAAACUUGUACUACAUAACUAAUCUAACAAGGUCCUCAAAAUGAAAGUUAUUGCGUUAUUGUCUUGCUCAAGAGCUCAAGUUUUACAAAUGAAAAAAAAAAAAAAAAAAAAAGUUUUAACAAAUGGAAAGACUAUAGAGUUCUUAUAAAGUCACUAGGAAGAAAAGUUAAAGAAAAUGCACCAAGAUAAAUGUAAAAACUUGAAGAAUCAAUCACAACCAUAAUAGAACACAAACCUCUGGUAAAUCAUAGAUCCGAUCAUUAAGUUGGAGUAGUAAUUUAACCCCACGAUAGAACUAUCUUUCUUCUCGUCUUCGUCUUCAGGUGGGGGAGAAAUCUUAACCAUAUUUCUCUAAAAGCACCAGUCUCACUAUAAUUGACUAAUUGGAGAAGGAAAACAAGUGAUCUAAUCAAAUAAUUGGUGUAGGAGCGAUAAGAAUGAGAAACGAUAUACAUGACUAGUUUGCAGACAUAUCAAAUAAACCGCUCUUCAUGAGCAUUAUUUAUAGUUGAAAUAGAGGGUUCUCGAACGGUGUAUAGAAAAAAAAAGAUUGGCAGUUUCAUCGGCGAAAAUUUGGAAGACAUGCAAUGGCUGGUUUUGUAGCUUUUAGCUUAGUUAAUCAUAUAUUAAAGGAGAAAUAGAAGCAAUAGCUUAGAUAAGUGCCAACUAGCAUUUCCUGUAAUGAACAUGACAUCUCUUUCCAACAAACUGAACAAAGUAUUAGUAGAGGUUUCAAAUUUCGAAUAUUCCUCAUCCAAAGUUCUUUACUUACUUAAUAUAUAACCUUUUAAUUAGAUAAGUUUUUCUCGUUAAUUUUUUCUUUGCAUCUUUCUUUAUCUAUCGAAGAAAACAAAACAAAGCAAAACUUUGAAAGGAGUCAUCCUGCGGCAUAGUUCCAAAACUCCCAAUAAAGACCAACCGCCCUAAAUAGUACUCUUCUACCGCAUGAAGGGGCUCUUCAUUAAAGACUUCACGAUAUGAACGAGCUAGGGAAUAAAAACCGGUACCGGUAGGGAAGUCGACAAUGAGGGAAAUAUGGAUCCAGAACCACGUUGCUGCAUGCAUGGAAGAGAUGAUGAACAAGACCAGACUAGCUGGCAUGGCUUCUUCUUGAAUGUUCAUGCAAAGACAAACCCAGAGUGAAACGGAUGCUCAAAUUAAGCUCAUGAGUUGGGUAUUCCUAAUUUCCAGAGUCUAUAACUGAUUUUGUAUGUAUAUCACAGAAGGAAAGAAAAUUCUAUGUGGUGAUUUUGCUGGCUAUUGUCCAGAUAUCUCACCCUCUUGUGGUGCUUUUACCGGCUUUUGUCCAUAUAUUACACCCUCUUGUGGUGAUUGUCCUGGCUAUGUCCAGAUCUAGAUGGCCAUGCUCCUCCUUUUACUUUGUUCUUUUUUCUUGUCAAAAACUUGUGAAAUUUUCCAGACCUGAGAUUAUCAUCCCCCAUCACCCGUCCCACCUAAUAUCUCAUACUGGGAAAUUAUUAUUUGUACCCGGAACACCACCUAUCUUAUGUUCCCUUUUAAUUUCAUUACUCCAAGUGUUUUAUCCUUAUUUCUGAUUGGUGUAUUUAAUUACUUUUUUUUUCCACCCCCUGCUGGUGAGAAAUUUUUCAGUGUUACGAGAGGACCACAUGGCAGUCUGACGUGAUCCUACUUUCCAAUCGAAUUUAGACAUGUAGAUUUUCUUCACGAAAAAUUAUUUCAACUAUUUUGUCAAAGACCAUUGUAGGUUUUCUGUUGUUUUUUUAAUACUAAACCCUAAGCCCUAAACCCCAAACCCUAAACCCUAUACCCUAAACCCUAAACCUUAUACCCUAAACUCUAACCCUAAACUUUAAACCAUAUACCCUAGACCCUAGUUUGAACUUGCUAAAUACCCAUGAAUGUCAUUUCACAAAAAAUAUAAAAUAUUUGUUUAUAUUUUAGUUGUAAAAAAUCCACAUGUCUAAAUUUGAUUGGAACGUAGGACCACGUCAGACUACUACGUGGUCCUCCCGUAACAUUUAAAAAUUUCUCUCUGCUGGUCCUUACGAGAAAUUUUUCAGUGCUACGGGAGAACCACUUGGUUUGCCUAAUGGUUCUCCCUAGCCAAUAAGAAAUCGCCACGUGGUUAUUUUUUACACAUCGUUGCAUGGUUAAAAUUUACUUCAUUCAACUUAAGUAAAACCAACAAACGUCAUCCAAAAAAAAAAACUCAGAUCUCCAUUUGGCAUGCCAUACAUUGAUUUGGCCAUUUGGGGUUGAAGGUCGAUCGAAGAGAGUAAGGGCCAUUCUGGGUUUGGGGUUGAGUUAUUGUGUUUAUCAUUACUUAUUGUGUUGAUCAAAUGAGUGAUAUAUCACAAUCAUUGUCAAAGCUGAAACAUUGUGAAGGUCCUAGAGGGGGGGUGAAUAGGCCCUGACAACUUUUUGCUCUAUCUUGCACACAAGGAUAGCAAAGAUUGUGCUAUCCUGUUUGCCAAUCUUUGCUAUGAGACUAAGUUGUGUAAAUAAAAAUGCAAGUAUUGAGAGUAAAAGAUAUAACACCAGUACGUUUUUUAUACGCAGAAACCCUGCAACCAGAGAGAAAAACUGCGUGCCUCUAACUCUUGAGAGACAAACUAUAUUCCACUAUUGUAAAGACACUUCUUACAAGACUCACAACUCAGAUGAUGGCACAACACCUAACCAUACUGCCUAGUCUAACUACUAACACUCAAUUGAACUUGCUCUCUUGUCACUCAAGUGUUUUACACAUAGCACGAAUCUAAGCUUCUAUGCAGAAUUCAACUAACACAUUUAGCUAAUUCUCAAAGACAGCUUCGCCGGGGUUGUUGCAUCACCUAGAUAGAUCUCAAGGUAUGCAAAUGCACAAUGAUAUGAGUUUGAAAAGGUUUUGGUGCUCAGCUCUAAGAUUGACAAUCACAGGGAAGACUUAGAGAUAAAUGAGCAGUUAGCAAAAUACUAAACUCAAUGGAAGACAACAAACAAGACUAUUUUCAACAACCAAAGAGCAAGAGAGGUGUUACUCUCUAUUUAUAGGCAAAGUGUACCGCUAUGAGGAAGCAAGCAUGUUAGCCACAUCAACAAGGUUCUUUUGGACUCUAGUUGCUUGUCUGAAAUACUAGGACAGAUAAGACCCUAGGGAUCCCUCCACUCACAAGACAAAAGCUGAGAAUAGACUUUCCUAGGAAAGACUAAAGCCAAAAGGAUAAGACAAAUGGUUUUGGGAAAACUAGAUCAGAUUUAGUCAAGCAUAAAGACUCUACAAAACCACUUUACCUAAGAGGACACUUAAGACAGCUGAUAGGUUGGGCGGUGCAUCACAUGGGCAGUUGCUGACUUGGUUUGUGUAUCAUAAAACCCAGCUGGUCACCAAAGGCUCAAGUUAUGUGGUCACGGGUUGGUUUGCCACACCACCCUAGACUAACUUCGAGCUCAAGUAUGAAUAGACUAAUGGUUUGCUAAAAGGUAUUUAAAAUUCAAACACUUAAAAACUGAAACAAAUACAUUUGAAUAUGCACAUGGUCAGACCCAGUAGAUAGAAUAGAUACAACAGGGGUAUCCGUCUAAUCGGGAUGACAAGCACGACUGCCAUCUUAGUGAAUGAAUGUGAAACUCCAAUAGUUCAUUGUGAUCUCAAGCCGAGCAAUGUUCUUUUGGACCAUGACUUGACUGGAUAUGUUGCUGAUUUUGGAUUAGCUAGAAUCCUCUCAAGACUAGUUGAUAAUGUUUCAGCAAAUCAAUCAAGUUCUAUUGGAAUAAGAGGGACUGUUGGUUAUGCUGCUCCAGGUAUGUACUUAUAUGCUAUUUUGUACUACUGUUUUUCUAGUAUCUAGCUUGGUUGUUACAAUAAUGAGAGUUGUUUUUGCUAACAACCAGUGAUGUUGAACCGCAGAGUAUGGAAUGGGAAGUGACGUUUCAACAUAUGGAGAUGUCUACAGCUUCGGCAUUCUCUUGUUAGAGAUGUUUACCGGGAAGAGACCGACUGACCACAUAUUCGUGGACAGUUUGAACCUUCACAAGUGUGUGAAGGUGGCCAUUGGGGAACGAGUUUCAGAGAUUGCAAACUCAACACUUGUUCAAGAAGACAAUCCGAGGCAGAGCACCAAUGAUGCUCAUGAAGAAUGGUUGAGUUCAAUAUUAGGUAUUGGAAUUGCAUGCUCUGUGGAAUCCUCAAAAGACCGAAAGAAUAUCGGUGAUGUUGUGUCUGCACUAAAAAAGAUUCGAGCAACUCUUAUUAGAUAGAAACUUUGUUAUUGUUUUGUUAUGGCUUUCACUGCCUGUCAUGCUUUUAUGUGUUGCGUGCUUUAAUUUUCAUGUUUUGUUGCUACUAUAUGCCUGAAUAAAGUUAUGUAUACAUUAUGUUUAGUUCUCUAUUUCUCUAGCUGUAUCCUAAUUCCUGUACCGUUUCAAGUUUGGUUGUUUGCUUUUAUCUUCCUUUAGCUUUAGUUCAAUUUCUAGGCCACUGAUUCAAAUGAAUAAUGCAAUAAGAAUAGCUUAUAUGAGGCACUGAAUAAUGCCUAAAUCUAAAACAGCUAAUGAGCUACAAUAUCAGUGUGUGAAAGAU
rnacentral:lncRNA from 1 species